CAACAGCAAGCCUUGAAAACACACAUGCACCGGCACAUGGUCCCGGGUGCCUUUAGCGACGUUUAACGACGCUACUGGUCGGAUCCAUGGGGUGCGUGGAGGCCUAACC
rnacentral:sRNA from 2 species